UAAAAAGUUAACAUAGUGAAAAAAAGUUAAUCCGUUGCAAUGUUUUUUAAUCUGUUGGGAUAUGAACAAUAAAAGCGAACCGUGACGGUACGUGGCUUGUUUUUAAAAAAACGUUUAAUCCUCAUUAAUGAGUUACAGUAUUUGAAAAGUAAAUUUACGAAAAAAAUAUUCAAUAUUUUUUUGUGAAAUUGAAUCAAGUUAUAAAACUGUUCUCACCAUGCAUUUUCUUUAUCUGCUCUAAGUUUUCCAUGCAAUGUUGAUCCUUUAAACGUGAAUCCAACAUGUCUGGAUAAACGUAUUCUAGAACUGUAGCUUCACAUUCGUAAAGCAUGUAAUACAUUUUUAACAAGUAAUGAUUAGCGAACUUUUUCCAUGCUUGAACCAUGGGAUUGGGUGAAUCAUAUGAUGUUGAGUUACACAACUUCAACUACUUUUUAAAGUUUUUUAAUAGUUCAAUCGUUGUCCUUAUUUGUUUAAUCCUCUCUUUAUCUCGUAUUUUAUUGAACAGUUUUUGUGAAAUAUCUUUCUCUACAACAGUUUUGAUUGCUGCACAGUAUUUUAUUGAUUGAUUGUAAUUAAUGGAGCUAACUGUUCCAUCUGGUUGAGCAACUUUAAACUAGUUUUUUUAUUGCAGUAUUUGAAAAUUGUUUGAUGGCUAAACACGAUUAAUCGACUUAUCGUUAAACGAUACAUCGCCGCUCCUUAGUUAAAGACACACCUUCAAACUGAACGUCCUACAUUGAUCUCCUUUUGUCGCAGUAUAUUGUACAUGGUUGAUUUUAGAACAUUUUCCAUGCGAAAAUGGUUAACAACAAAACAUUGUUCUCUUCUUGAUGCAAAUCCAGAUAAGCGUUCACUCGUUUACGGAGUGCCUCUUGAUUUUUAAAUCUUUCAGACAUGUUUAAUUAGGUUCUGGAAAAAAAAAAGAGACGAUAUAUUGUUUAAUAUAUUGUAGAGGAAAUUGAAACAAAACUGUUUACCGUUUGACUCCAGUCCCAAUUAAACCUAGUGGGUUUAAAAAGAAAAAACCGCGCUGGAAACAUAAGGGGAUUAAAAGAAUCAGCCCUUUUUUGAAUUAAUAGCCGAAGUUGUAACCAGCUAGAAAAUGUAACCUGCUCGUAUGAAAGAAUUUCUCGACGUGAAAUAGUUAAUUUUAUUCAACAACGCCAAGAAACAGAGCUCUCUCAAGAAACAGAAAAGAAAGAGAAAGAUAAAAAAAU